rnacentral:rRNA from 1 species
GAACGUACGGGUUCCAUGGUUAUAGAACUUGAGGUAAGGUGUUCGAACACCAAGCUAGUCUGUUGCUCUAGGGUUUGUAAAUACCGGAAUAUUUAUUUUAUCAGGAGACGUGCCGAGAGAAAUUAGCGUGGCUCCGAACGCAGACUAGACGUAAACCUGAGCUAGAGGAGGAGGUGCGGCCGGCAUCAUGAAAGACAGCCAGUGUGAGUGUCCUGCGCCAAUCGAUUCGGCCGGUACCGACAGGUCCUGCUCGGCGACGUGUAGGAGAAGAAGGGCAAGGACCGCAGGCCGGUGGAGUAGGGAUAGCGGCUGUACCGGCGCGAGAAGCGGCCGGCGCCGCAGUCCACGUCGUAGGAGUGGUGCGGGCAGUUGCGGCGGUAGUAGGCGAGACGGCAGCCGACGCGGUUGCUACGGAAGCGGCCGUGGCCGAGGGGCUGGUAGCUGUAGCGCCAGCACGGGAAGGGGCUGCAGCCGGAGGGCGGCCCACACCUCUUGACGUGCCGCGAGUGCAGGGAUCUGCUGGCGCUGUUCAAGAAGGUCCGGCGCGUCGACGAGGCCCUCGGGAAGCUGGCCAAGGACCGGCUGGUGGCGUGGCUGCGCCAGCACAGUCUGUCGAAGAAGUUAACCAGGCACCUGCGGCGGCGACUCGCGCCGCAGGGCGCCUAGCGGAAGGAGCCGUCGUCGUACAAGCGCGCGAGGACGUCGCUGUCGUACGACGCCGUGUUGGGCGACCUCUUGCGGGGGCUGCUGGGGCUGCGGGAGCAAGACGACGGCCCCGACGGCGUGGCGUAGCUCGACUCCGCCUCGGUCUACUACCUGGGCCGUUUCUUCGGCACCUUGACCCUCAAGAGGUUCUCGCACUUGCGGCGGCUGGUCUCCUCGAAGCCGCUCCACAAGUUGUCGAAGGUGCUCGACCUCGGCCUAAUGCAGCUCGUGAAGGUGUUCUGCGAGCGGGCCGCGCACACCGAGCAGCCCGGCCACCGCGAGCGGUCGUUCCUGUACCGACACUCUCCGUGGCUGCGCGGGAGCGGCCUGCGCCUGUCGACGUAGGCCACCGAACUGCGCUUCGGCCGGCCGAGCCACCACAUGCAGAGGAAGCCGUGUGACUGGUUCAAGCGUGGCCGCCUCGACGUGGUCGAGCGGGCGCGGGAGCUGCAUAGUCCGCACUUGAAACACACCCACUAGCGGCGGCGGCUCCCGGUUCUGAGACGACUCACCUACGGGCUUCCGAAGCGGCUCGAGUAUCGCGCGCCGCUGGCGCCGAAGUACCAGGCUCCGACCCGCGGCGUCUACGACUAGGACUCGAUGGGGCGGGAGCCGCCCAAGUACUGCGUGACGCCGACCUUGAGUCACGACCUCCGGCACUGGCGGCCGCAAGGCUACCACUGCACCGGCGCCAUGCUCCUGGUCAAGUUGUUGCUCUUCGAACAGCACCUCGACGACUUCCACCCGCAGUCGUAGCCCCGGUUCCUAUUGCGCAGCCCGUAGCUCCGGGUGCUCCACUAGCGGCGGCUCCACUAGCGGCUCAGGUAGGUCUCCAACUACCUCUCGCUGCGGUAGGCCUUCUUCCGGUUCCUGGAGCCGCGCUUCCGUUCCUCGCGCCACCUCUUCCCGCCCAGAAGCAUGCUACUGCAACUGGCCGACUACCUGCAGGACUGCCGGGCGGCCUCGAGGCAGCUCCGACCUCUUCUGUAGGUUCGGUCGACUACCCGACCAUGCUGCCACGCAAUUACCGGCGAUCUAGGCGACCGCUAGAAAACGAUCAUGCUGUCGGUACCUUAAAUUAACAUGCAGCGACAAGAGACUCUUUUCACAUUUUACUCAUUUUUUUUGAAAGAAAAACGUAGAGCCCCUGUCUUUUCUGAGCCACCUACGGUUCGGUGCGAGCACGAGAGACGGUCAUAGUACCGAGGUUUGGACUAUGCAUCGUACCAAGCACCGGUAUGUAGUACAACAUGCAAGGGUAGAGCGGCCGGAACGGCGGUAAUGACUAAACAACGUAGCUGAAACACAAAAAGAGAAGACACUAUCACUUCGAGAAACCAAAAAAAGAAGAAGACACUUUCAUCACUUUGUGAUAUGAAAACCAAAAGAUUUUAGACUCUUUUGACAUGAACAGUUAGUGUCGGAUCGA